rnacentral:RNase_P_RNA from 1 species
GCGAGCGGCGGGGCGGGCCGCGGGGAACUCCCGAGGAAGUUCCUCCCCCAAACGGGAGACGCGUGGCGCCGCGAGGCGCCGGGGGAGACCCCGGGCAACGCCACAGAAACGAGACCCCCUGCAUCCGAGGAGGAUGAGGCGGCGCCUCGAAGCCGUCGAGGAGGAUGCGGGGUCGGGUGAAACGGGCGACCCACGCGGGGAAAGGGGGUGGGGGGCUGAUGAGCGCGUCUCCCGUCGAAAGCCCUCCCGAAGACCGACUAGACGAAUCCCGCCUAAAAACAGAAGGAGGACUACCGCCGCACGC